rnacentral:tRNA from 6 species
GCCGGGUUGGUGGAAUCGGCAUACACAGAUGUCUCAAAAGCAUCCGUCCGAAAGGACUUGCGGGUUCGAGUCCCGCACCCGGCA